AAAGACAGCUGUGGGAGGGGGUGGACCGCCCAGAGUCCCGACGGCACAGCAAAUGGGAGCCUGGUGCUUAAAAGAGUAAAACUGUAUCUAACAUGUGCAAUGUCAGUUCUCAGUGACAUUAUGAGCAAAUGAGCAGAGGCUAAGGUAUGAAUCAUAGGAAACUGUAGGUAAACAAAGGGAUUUAGCUUGGUUUUUAUUAGACUCAGACACACAUCCCCAAACUGAAACCCACAGAGAGCAGGAGAAAGAACACAGACUCGGAGUGGCCCCAGCUCCGCCACUGUGUGACCUUGGGCCAGUCACGUGCCUCCUGGCUGGACCAGAUGAACAGGUCUCAAAUGUGGCCGCGCUUCAGAACCACCUGGAGAGGCUGCUAUCUACAGAGCGAGAUGUUCCCUGGCAAGGUCAGCAACUGGCGUUGGUAACAAGCCCCCAGCAGAUAUCGCUCCUGACUUCAUAAGGCUACCAGAGGAUUAAGCUGGAUAACAUCGGCAAGCCUUUAAGAAGAGGGCCUGACAUUUAACAGUUGCUGAGUAAAUGUAGUACGUAUCAUUCUUCAAGGGGUGACUUUUGAGAUGAUUCUAGAAGGAUGAGCUGGAAUUAGGUAGAAAAGGGAACAGCACAUGGAAUGACACCACGGCAGACAUGCCACCUGCCACAGAAAAGUGUCUUCGUGGUGGCGGUCCCGGUGGGGUGGGGGGCAAUGAUGGGCCAGGCACCGCUGUUAAACGGGUGGUGUGUGCUACCUCACGCCCUCCUGACAGCGGCCCCCCAGGUGGACACAAUCACUGUCCUCCUUUUUUAGAUGAAGAAACUGAGGGGCUAAGACUCUAACCCUGACCACCAGAGGCCCCACCCAUGCCCAUGUGCUAAGCCAUUCUGCUGGGGAAGAUGCCUUGGUUUCAGGGAAAAGGACAGUUUCUCUCAGCAUAUGUUGAUAACCUCUAGCCCUGCCCUGCCACCCCUCUCUGCUCGUUUCUGCUCAUCAGCAACUCCCUGUCCAUCAGCAACUUCUCUAAAGAAUUCAGGCACAGAACAUUGAAGCAGAGAGAAGACCUGGCCCAGGGGAGGAGAGAGGCCAAGAAGCAGAGACCCCUGAGCAUUUAAGGAGGGACCGAUUCACUAGGUACAUCAGGCCUUUGAUUCCUCAGGACGGGGCAUGACUUCAGACGAGAUCCAGCCUUGAUGGCCCAGGCAAGCAGGUGAGCCACCGGCCCCUGGCAUCUCAGUAAGGCCAUACUUGUCACUCUCCUCCUUGCUUUGUGCUCCCUCUGUGUAGCAGAUCGAAUCGUGGACACCAAAAGGUAUGUCCAGCUGGAACCUCAAACGUGACCUUAUUUGGAAUAAGGGUCUUUGCGGAUUAAUACGGUAAGGAUCUUGAGAUGAAAUUAUUCUGUGUUAGGGUGAGCCCUCCAUCCAAUCAGAGUCCUUAUAAGGGACAGAAAAGGGUAGCUCUCACCCACAAGCCCACGAAGAGCUACCCUUCUUUCACAGUGAGGGACUCAGGCUCAGAGAGGUGCAGGGCUUUGCUGGCAGCUCAUUCAACUAGUCUACAGAGCAGUGAUCAGGGCCCACGUCAGCUGACACCCGAGCUCUGCCGUCAGGGCUGGGGUCCCAAAGAUGCAAGAGGGAGGGGGGACGGGCCUUGGGAAGUGCCCAGGGCAGGUCUCCAGGGCCCUGGGGAGAGCCAAGCCCCUGGAGCUGGGAGGACUCCCCUGGUAGACUGAACACGGAGACACGGGCAGGACUCCCACGCGCAGGGGGCUUUUAGCGUGGCCUGGGCUGUGCAGUGAACACCUUUGAGGACGAAUGAGACCAUGAGAAACUACAGCCAGUGCUCAUCACCCAGACCCAGGACUGCCUCCUGCCCCGGGACUGGGGCUGAGAACUCAUUUCCAUCCUCAGGACUGUUCACCCCCCUCGAUGGCAGCCCCUUAAGCUUCUUUUGCCAAAUGCAGACGUAGGAUGUGCUUAUUUCAAUCCCAGAUGACACCUCAUUCCUAGAGAGCAAGUACCGUAACUUGUCUCCCAAACUGCACAUUCACACAAAAUCCCAAACUCCCUGCCACAGAGGGAGGGGCGUGGCCUUCUUCUGGCCUGUGGCCUGCGCUGGGCUUGGGCACCAGCUCCUCUGAAAAGGGGCCUGGCCGUGCGAUCUGCCAAAGGCCCUCUUUUCCAAAGCCCUUCUCAUCUUGCCCCCACCAGCCACACCCCCAUACGCAGCAAGCGUUUCCGGUAGAGUAACCCACAUCAAUGCAUCUGGGAAAGUGACAUUUUAAUUUUCAGGAAGCAGCUGAUGCAGAAUUAGGGGACUGGUGGUGCAUAUCAAGUGGCUGCAUCCCUUCCACCUCUGUUUUUUCACACGCUAUCCCUGCAAGCCCAUGGCACAGGGACAGACCGAUACACGGAUGGCAGAAGUUGGUCCUGAACCCUGUACAGAAUUCAGAGGCCCCUUGACUGGGCUGCAGGAUCUAUCCUGCACUUUUUUCAACGUUUCUCUCUCACAACGAGAAACAACCUCUGGGCUUCUGAUUUGACCCAGAAGCUGAACAUCUGGACAAUUUGUCCUUCCCAACCCGCACCGAUACUCAGCCUGCUGACUCCAAGCGGGGUGCUGCAGUGUUCUUGGCCGGCAUGGGGGAGCGAGGCAGGGGCAGCAGAAGCACUGCACAUGGGUCCCCCCUCAGUUCUCAGCACCCCAGGCUGGUGUCUCCCACAGCUUAACCUGUGGGAAAUCCCAGGGAGCCUACCAACUUUACAGGGCCAUAAAAAGACCACCGGAGAUAUCGCCUGUAAAGUGCCUGACACCCAUAGCACACCCUCAGUAAGUGCUGCCCGUUAAUACUAUGAACCUAGAUUUGACCCUGCCAUGUUUUCCCCACUGGUGCUUCCAUCAGAGAGAGGAUGAAAUGCUGCCUUCCCAGCUCUCCUGCGAGAUCUCUGAGCACAGAAGCCACACUUCCUAUUUCUGUAUCCCUGGCAGGGCCAGGCCCAGCGCAGGGCGCAUAGCACGUGCUCACGGCACCUGGUUUUGAAGUACAGUGGUCCGUUCUUGGAGUAAACCUGUGACCCCAGGCUUGUGUUCUUAGUUUCUCCUUUUGCUCUGGAGGCCCAGCCCCACAGCAAGAGGGCACAGACCAGCCGCUAAAUGAACAGGAAGAAUCCAGGUGCCCUGCAUGGGGUCGGUGUUCAGAAAUGGUGCCCCAGGACUGAAGGGCAGAGUGUACCCUGUCGGCAGCCAGCCCUGGGAGGGGGAGGCCCCUCACUCGGGGAUUGCCUAUCACACCCUGCUGUCAGCACCAGGAAGCAGCACCCAAGCAGGGAGAAGGGCCCCGGGCCAGAGCAGACACCACAGUGCCAUCCCCUGGGUCAAGGGUGGGAAGCGUCUGGUGCCACCUAAGAACCUGUCCCAAGGACAGGGGCCCUUCCUGCGCCUGCUGUGCCGUCUAAAGGAAGGGAGGGCCGAGGCGCCACACAAAGCCUGGGGUCUGGGUAGGAGAACUCUGACUUCCUGCCGUUUCAGAGUUUAGGUUAUCACCCUCAUUUCUAGUAACAAUUUCCCGGCCUCAAAGAUUAGAGACCCCGGGCGCCGGCACAGCCUCUCCACAGACUCACUCCCGUUUCUCCUCCUCUGUUUCGCAGUGGCCAGCGGUUCCUCUGAUCACAAAGGCAGAGGAGCCCGGAGAGGGACCUCAAGAGGCACUUGGUCCAGUCCUGUGUCUUCUCACCCAUCCAAUGCAACCGGCCAUUACCCCUGGCAUAACAACGUGACCACUGGCAUCCAUGCCCUGUGUAUGGUUGCAGCAAGCUGGCACACACUGUCGCCUUUGGGACCGCAGUGGCCAUGCAGCACACGUGGGGCUCGUGUUCUUACGUUGCACAGAUGGAGACAGUCUGGGAGAGCAAGGCCCUGGCUUCCCCAGCCCUCACUGCUACUCUCUCUAUUGAAGGCCCGUUCUGUA